AGAGUUUGAUCAUGGCUCAGGAUGAACGCUAGCGGCAGGCCUAACACAUGCAAGUCGAGGGGUAGAACAUUUCGGUGUUUGAGACCGGCGCACGGGUGCGUAACGCGUAUGCAAUCUGCCUUGUACAGAGGGAUAGCCCAGAGAAAUUUGGAUUAAUACCUCAUAGUAUAAUUGAAUGGCAUCAUUUGAUUAUUAAAGUUCCAACGGUACAAGAUGAGCAUGCGUCCCAUUAGUUAGUUGGUGUGGUAACGGCACACCAAGACGAUGAUGGGUAGGGGUCCUGAGAGGGAGAUCCCCCACACUGGUACUGAGGCACGGACCAGACUCCUACGGGAGGCAGCAGUGAGGAAUAUUGGUCAAUGGAGGCAACUCUGAACCAGCCAUGCCGCGUGCAGGAUGACUGCCCUAUGGGUUGUAAACUGCUUUUGCACGGGAACAAACCUGCACAUGUAUGUGCAGCUGAGCGUACCGUGAGAAUAAGGAUCGGCUAACUCCGUGCCAGCAGCCGCGGUAA
rnacentral:rRNA from 1 species